GUCCCAUGAUUGACCCUUUUCCUCUCACAGAGACAGCGCUGCAGUACAUUUCAUAUUCUGACCAUGUCUUUUGUCCACAGGAUGACAGUAAACUGUACCAGCGUGUCGGACAUGCCCGGGAAGGAACAACAAGUUUCCUGCCAGCCGUGGAGUAAAGGGGAUCCGAUUAGACUCCAAGGAUGACAGUAAACUGUACCAGCGUGUCGGACAUGCCCGGGAAGGAACAACAAGUUUCCUGCCAGCCGUGGAGUCAAGGGGAUCCGAUUAGACUCCAAGGCUGACAGUCGAGGAACCACAUUGACGGACUUGCCCUGGACCUACCAUAUCAUCCUUUUAAUUUGAAAUUUAUUUUAAUAAAAAUAAUGCCAAUAUGUUUUUUUAUGAGAAAUUGAUAUUUU